GACGAACGCUGGCGGCGUGCCUAAUACAUGCAAGUAGAACGCUGAAGAGAGGAGCUUGCUCUUCUUGGAUGAGUUGCGAACGGGUGAGUAACGCGUAGGUAACCUGCCUUGUAGCGGGGGAUAACUAUUGGAAACGAUAGCUAAUACCGCAUAACAAUGGAUGACACAUGUCAUUUAUUUGAAAGGGGCAAUUGUUCCACUACAAGAUGGACCUGCGUUGUAUUAGCUAGUAGGUGAGGUAAUGGCUCACCUAGGCGACGAUACAUAGCCGACCUGAGAGGGUGAGCGGCCACACUGGGACUGAGACACGGCCCAGACUACUACGGGAGGCAGCAGUAGGGAAUCUCCGGCGAUGGGGGCAACGGUGAACGAGCAACGACGCGUGAGUGACGAAGGUUUUCGGAUCGUAAAGAUCUGUUGUGAGUCAAGAAUGGGUGUGAGUGUGGCAAGUGCACACUGUGACGGUAGCUGACCAGAAAGGGACGGCUAACUACGUG
rnacentral:rRNA from 1 species